rnacentral:rRNA from 1 species
GCUCAGAACGAACGCUGGCGGCGCGCCUAAUACAUGCAAGUCGAGCGAGAAGACGUAGCAAUACGUUUGUAACGCGGCGAACGGGUGAGGAAUACAUGGGUAACCUACCAUCGAGUGGGGAAUAACUAGCCGAACGGUUAGCUAAUACCGCAUACGACUCCUGGUCUGCGGAUCAGGAGAGAACGCGAUACCGUGGGUAUCGCGCUCUUGGAUGGGCUCAUGUCCUAUCAGCUUGUUGGUGAGGUAACGGCUCACCAAGGCUUCCAGGAUUAGCUGGUCUGAGAGGACGAUCAGGGACCCUGGCACUGCGACACGGGCCAGACUCCUACGGGAGGCAGCAGUAAGGAAUAUUGCGCAAUGGGCGACAGCCUGACGCAGCGACGCCGCGUGGGGGAUGAAGGUCUUCGGAUUGUAACCACCUUUCGGCAGGGAAGAUGGAACGGGUAACCGUUCGGACGGUACCUGCAGAAGCAGCCACGGCUAACUUCGUGCCAGCAGCCGCGGUAAUACGAAGGUGGCAAGCGUUGUUCGGAUUUACUGGGCGUACAGGGAGUGUAGGCGGUUGGGUAAGCCAUUCGUGAACUCUCCGGGCCUAACCAGGAACGGGCGGAGGGGACUGCUCGGCUAGAGGAUGGGAGAGGAGUGCGGAAUUCCAGGUGUAGCGGUGAACUGCGUAGAGAUCGGGAGGAAGGCCGGUGGCGAAGGCGGCGCUCUGGAACAUUUCUGACGCUGAGGCUCGAACGCGUGGGGAGUAACCAGGAUUAGAUACCAUGGUAGUCCACGCCUUAACCGAUGGAUACUAAGUGUCGGCGG